AGUAGUAUUUUCGAUCAAUGGAGCAUGCUGAUCAGCAAUGCGCGUGAGGAGAGCGUCGGUAGUCAAGCUCUUCGUCAGGAAGAAUCGGGCAGGGAUAUACCUUGUCUAAUGACGGUACAUGAUGAGCAGCACUGGCUACUACGUGCAGCAGCCGCAGUAAUACGUAGCGUGCAAGCGUUAAUCGGAAUUAGUGGGCGUAAAGCGUGCGCAGGCGGUUUAAGUAAGUCUGUCGUGAAAUCCCCGGGCUCAACGUGGGAAUGGCGAUGGAGACUGCAAGGCUAGAAUCUGGCAGAGGGGGAUAGAAUUCCACGUGUAGCAGUGAAAUGCGUAGAGAUGUGGAGGAACACCGAUGGGGAAGGCAGCCCCCUGGGUCAAGAUUGACGCUCAUGCACGAAAGCGUGGGGAGCAAACAGGAUUAGAUACCUUGGUAGUCCACGCCCUAAACGAUGUCUACUAGUUGUCGGGUUUUAAUUAACUUGGUAACGCAGCUAACGCGUGAAGUAGACCGCCUGGGGAGUACGGUCGCAAGAUUAAAACUCAAAGGAAUUGACGGGGACCCGCACAAGCGGUGGAUGAUGUGGAUUAAUUCGAUGCAACGCGAAAAACCUUACCUACCCUUGACAUGUACGGAAGCCACGAGAGAUCGAGGUGUGCUCGAAAGAGAGCCGUAACACAGGUGCUGCAUGGCUGUCGUCAGCUCGUGUCGUGAGAUGUUGGGUUAAGUCCCGCAACGAGCGCAACCCUUGUCAUUAGUUGCUACGAAAGGGCACUCUAAUGAGACUGCCGGUGACAAACCGGAGGAAGGUGGGGAUGACGUCAAGUCCUCAUGGCCCUUAUGGGUAGGGCUUCACACGUCAUACAAUGGUACAUACAGAGCGCCGCCAACCCGCGAGGGGGAGCAAUCGCAGAAAGUGUAUCGUAGUCCGGAUUGUAGUCUGCAACUCGACUGCAUGAAGUUGGAAUCGCUAGUAAUCGCGGAUCAGCAUGUCGCGGUGAAUACGUUCCCGGGUCUUGUACACACCGCCCGUCACACCAUGGGAGCGGGUUUUACCAGAAGUAGGUAGCUUAACCGCAAGGAGGGCGCUACCACGGUAGAUUGUG
rnacentral:rRNA from 1 species